UUCCGCAAUGGGCGAAAGCCUGACGGAGCAAGACCGCGUGGGGGAAGAAGGCUCUUGGGUUGUAAACCCCUUUUCUCUGGGAAGAACACAAUGACGGUACCAGAGGAAUCAGCAUCGGCUAACUCCGUGCCAGCAGCCGCGGUAAGACGGAGGAUGCAAGCGUUAUCCGGAAUGAUUGGGCGUAAAGCGUCCGCAGGUGGCAGUUCAAGUCUGCUGUCAAAGACCGGGGCUUAACCUCGGAAAGGCAGUGGAAACUGAACAGCUAGAGUAUGGUAGGGGCAAAGGGAAUUCCUGGUGUAGCGGUGAAAUGCGUAGAGAUCAGGAAGAACAUCGGUGGCGAAGGCGCUUUGCUGGACCAUAACUGACACUCAGGGACGAAAGCUAGGGGAGCGAAUGGGAUUAG
rnacentral:rRNA from 1 species